rnacentral:rRNA from 1 species
GGUUUGAUUAUGGCUCAGAUUGAACGCUGGCGGGAUGUUUUACACAUGCAAGUCGAACGGCAGCACGGACUUCGGUCUGGUGGCGAGUGGCGAACGGGUGAGUAAUGUAUCGGAACGUGCCUAGUAGCGGGGGAUAACUACGCGAAAGCGUAGCUAAUACCGCAUACGCAGCCCUUCAAAGUUGGGACCUUCGGGCCUCGCACUAUUAGAGCGGCCGAUAUCGGAUUAGCUAGUUGGUGGGGUAACGGCUCACCAAGGCGACGAUCCGUAGCUGGUUUGAGAGGACGACCAGCCACACUGGGACUGGAGACACGGCCCAGACUCCUACGGAGGCAGCAGUGGGGAAUUUUGGACAAUGGGGGGAAACCCUGAUCCAGCCAUCCCGCGUGUGCGAUGAAGGCCUUCGGGUUGUAAAGCACUUUUGGCAGGAAGAAACGGCACGGGAUAAUACCCCGUGCAACUGACGGUACCUGCAGAAUAAGCACCGGCUAACUACGUGCCAGCAGCCGCGGUAAUACGUAGGGUGCAAGCGUUAAUCGGAAUUACUGGGCGUAAAGCGUGCGCAGGCGGUUCGGAAAGAAAGAUGUGAAAUCCCAGAGCUUAACUUUGGAACUGCAUUUUUAACUACCGAGCUAGAGUGUGUCAGAGGGAGGUGGAAUUCCGCGUGUAGCAGUGAAAUGCGUAGAUAUGCGGAGGAACACCGAUGGCGAAGGCAGCCUCCUGGAUAACACUGACGCUCAUGCACGAAAGCGUGGGGAGCAAACAGGAUUAGAUACCCUGGUAGUCCACGCCCUAAACGAUGUCAACUAGCUGUUGGGGCCUUCGGGCCUUGGUAGCGCAGCUAACGCGUGAAGUUGACCGCCUGGGGAGUACGGUCGCAAGAUUAAAACCUCAAAGGAAUUGACGGGGACCCGCACAAGCGGUGGAUGAUGUGGAUUAAUUGAUGCAACGCGAAAACCUUACCUACCCUUGACAUGUCUGGAAUCCCGAAGAGAUUUGGGAGUGCUCGCAAGAGAACCGGAACACAGGUGUUGCAUGGCUGUCGUCAGCUCGUGUCGUGAGAUGUUGGGUUAAGUCCCGCAACGAGCGCAACCCUGUCAUUAGUUGGUACGAAAGGGCACUCUAAUGAGACUGCCGGUGACAAACCGGAGGAAGGUGGGGAUGACGUCAAGUCCUCAUGGCCCCCUUAUGGGUAGGGCUUCACACGUCAUACAAUGGUCGGGACAGAGGGUCGCCAACCCGCGAGGGGGAGCCAAUCCCAGAAACCCGAUCGUAGUCCGGAUCGCAGUCUGCAACUCGACUGCGUGAAGUCGGAAUCGCUAGUAAUCGCGGAUCAGCAUGUCGCGGUGAAUACGUUCCCGGGUCUUGUACACACCGCCCGUCACACCAUGGGAGUGGGUUUUACCAGAAGUAGUUAGCUCAACCGUAAGGAGGGCGAUUACCACGGUAGGAUUCAUGACUGGGGUGAAGUCGUAACAAGGUAA